AGAGUUUGAUCAUGGCUCAGAUUGAACGCUGGCGGCAGGCCUAACACAUGCAAGUCGAGCGAGAAAGCCUUCGGGUGAGUAUAGCGGCGGACGGGGGAUGAGUAUUCAUGGGAAUCUGCCCAGUAGUGGGGGACAACAGUUGGAAACGACUGCUAAUACCGCAUACGCCCUACGGGGGAAAGUGGGGGACCUUCGGGCCUCACGCUACUGGAUGAGCCCAUGUCAGAUUAGCUAGUUGGUGGGGUAAUGGCCUACCAAGGCGACGAUCUGUAGCUGGUCUGAGAGGAUGAUCAGCCACACUGGGUCUGAGACACGGCCCAGACUCCUACGGGAGGCAGCAGUGGGGAAUAUUGGACAAUGGGCGCAAGCCUGAUCCAGCAAUACCGCGUGUGUGAAGAAGGCCUUAGGGUUGUAAAGCACUUUUAUGAGUGAAGAAAGGGUACAGUUUAAUACGCUGUUGCUCUGACGUUACCAAUAGAAGAAGCACCGGCUAACUCCGUGCGAGCAGCCGCGGUAAUACGGAGGGUCCGAGCGUUAAUAGGAAUUACUGGGCGUAAAGCGCGCGUAGGCGGCUUUUAAAGCUAGAUGUGAAAGCCCUGGGCUCAACCUGGGAACUGCAUUUAGAACUGGAAGGCUAGAGUAUGGUAGAGGAGUGUGGAAUUUCAGGUGUAGCGGUGAAAUGCGUAGAGAUCUGAAGGAACAUCAGUGGCGAAGGCGACACUCUGGACCAAUACUGACGCUGAGGUGCGAAAGCGUGGGUAGCAAACAGGAUUAGAUACCCUGGUAGUCCACGCCGUAAACGAUGUCUACUAGCCGUUGGGAGACCUGAUCUCUUAGUGGCGCAGCUAACGCAUUAAGUAGACCGCCUGGGGAGUACGGCCGCAAGGUUAAAACUCAAAUGAAUUGACGGGGGCCCGCACAAGCGGUGGAGCAUGUGGUUUAAUUCGAUGCAACGCGAAAAACCUUACCUACUCUUGACAUACUUGGAAGCUCUUGUAAUGAGAGUGUGCUUUUAGAGCCAAGAUACAGGUGCUGCAUGGCUGUCGUCAGCUCGUGUCGUGAGAUGUUGGGUUAAGUCCCAUAACGAGCGCAACCCUUACCCUUAUUUGCCAGCGGUUCGGCCGGGAACUAUAAGGGGACUGCAGGUGAUAAACCGGAGGAAGGAGGGGACGACGUCAAGACAUCAUGGCCCUUACGGGUAGGGCUACACACGUGUUACAAUGGGGCGUACAGAGGGUUGCUAAAGCGUGAGCUGGUGCUAAUCCUAAAAAAUUUCUCGUAGUCCGGAUUGCAGUCUGCAACUCGACUCCAUGAAGUCGGAAUCGCUAGUAAUCGCGAAUCAGAAUGUCGCGGUGAAUACGUUCUCGGGUCUUGUACACACCGCCCGUCACACCAUGGAAGUGUGUUGCACCAGAAGUAGGUAGUCUAACCUUCGGGAAGGCGCUUACCACGGUGUGAUCCAUGACUGGGGUGAAGUCAUAACAAGGUAACCGUA
rnacentral:rRNA from 1 species